GGGCCCGUAGCUCAAUCGGAUAGAGCCACGACCUUCUAAGUCGUCACGUGGGGGUUCGAGUCCCUCCGGGCCCGCCA
rnacentral:tRNA from 1 species